GACAUUGUAGAGGAUGCCAGAAACCCUGUGGCCCCUCUGCUCUGAGAGGCAGUGACAGGUGUCCUGAUCGAACCCCUCCUGGGGCACAUGCUGGUGUCUCCACCUGUCCUGUCUCCAGCCGCGCUCAGGAAUCACUCUGUGCCCCUCCUCCUGCACAUGUGGGAUCGGAUCCUUUCUCUGUGUAGACACAGACCGCUGGAUCUCGAGGUUGGCGUGUUGUCAUGGUCACUCACCGGCCUGGUGUCCAGGGUAGACUUAUCUGUGCAGGAGCUGAGGAGCCACCUGCUAGUUUUUGCUGGCUCCCUUGAGGGGUUGUCACCUCCAUGCUGAGAUGAGGCCACCCAGGCCUCUACUCCCCUCACUGAUUAGGGCAUCGUGACCUGCGCAGUUCCCUGUGGGAAAGUGUGACCUUCCUGCUCUUCAUUCCCAGUUACCCUCUGCAUGAGCAGAAGGAGCCGUUUGCCUCAUUCGUUACAUGUUAAUCUCUGACCUUACCGUCAAGCAGGGCAGGGCACGAUGCACCCACCAGAUGGACAAAGUGAUGUGGCCGCCAUCGCUGGCUUUGCCAAUUCUUCAGAAGGUUCUGGAAAAUCAAACCAGAUAGUGUCAGAGACAACCCAUCUUAUGUCCUUUGAUGGAGCUAUUCAUGGGGCUUGCUCCUCUCAACCCCAGGGCUCAAAGGUCCCUGGCUUUGCCCCUGCCCGCCUGAGGAAAGGCCGUGGUUAACUGUGAAACUGCCCUGUAGCUGCUGGCACUGACUUGAGGUCACGAGGUCCAGCAGCAUCUCCUAGAUUGUCACUGACCGCUCUGCUCUGUGGGCAGGUCAGCCGUGGUAAAGCACAGCGGGUGGAGGUUGAGGCUGCUGUGCAGGAAUCACCAGGCUACAGGAAGGAUUCUCGGAUGCUCCUGCUUGUGGGAGAUCCAGGUCUUCAAGGUCCUCUUGGCCGUACACGAUGCCCACCUCAUGGGCUAACUUCAGGACCCAAACUGAGAUGGUUUGACAAAAACCAGAAAAGAGAACCAGAGACUGUGGCUGUUCUCCCGAGGGCCAGGGGGGCCCAUUUCCUCAAAGUCCUCCUAUAUCCUCAGGGAUGCUGGCGGGCUCCCCUGUGACUGCCCUCUCCCCUCU
rnacentral:lncRNA from 1 species